UACGAAGGGGGCUAGCGUUGUUCGGAAUUACUGGGCGUAAAGCGCACGUAGGCGGAAUGUUAAGUCAGGGGUGAAAUCCCGGGGCUCAACCCCGGAACUGCCUUUGAUACUGGCAUUCUCGAGUCCGGAAGAGGUGAGUGGAAUUCCGAGUGUAGAGGUGAAAUUCGUAGAUAUUCGGAGGAACACCAGUGGCGAAGGCGGCUCACUGGUCCGGUACUGACGCUGAGGUGGGAAAGCGUGGGGAGCAAACAGG
rnacentral:rRNA from 1 species